CCUACACGACCGUACCGCAAACCGACACUGGUGCGCGAGAUGAGUAUUCUAAGGCGCUUGAGAGAACUCAGGAGAAGGAACUCGGCAAAUUGACACCGUAACUUCGGAAGAAGGUGUGCCUUUAGUAGGUGAAGUCCCUCGCGGAUGGAGCCCAAUGAGGUUGCAAAGAAUCGGUGGCUGCGACUGUUUAUUAAAAACACAGCACUCUGCAAACACGAAAGUGGACGUAUAGGGUGUGACGCCUGCCCGGUGCUGGAAGAUUAAAUGAUGGGGUGCAAGCUCUUGAUUGAAGUCCCAGUAAACGGCGGCCGUAACAAUAACGGUCCUAAGGUAGCGAAAUUCCUUGUCGGGUAAGUUCCGACCUGCACGAAUGGCGUAACGAUGGCCACACUGUCUCCUCCUGAGACUCAGCGAAGUUGAAAUGUUUGUGAUGAUGCAAUCUCCCCGCGGAAAGACGGAAAGACCCCAUGAACCUUUACUGUAGCUUUGUAUUGGACUUUGAACAGAUCUGUGUAGGAUAGGUGGGAGGCUUUGAAGCAGGGUCGCUAGAUCUUGUGGAGCCAACGUUGAAAUACCACCCUGGUGUGUUUGAGGUUCUAACCUAGGCCCGUAAUCCGGGUUGGGGACAGUGCAUGGUAGGCAGUUUGACUGGGGCGGUCUCCUCCCAAAGUGUAACGGAGGAGUUCGAAGGUACGCUAGUUACGGUCGGACAUCGUGACGAUAGUGCAAUGGCAUAAGCGUGCUUAACUGCGAGACUGACAAGUCGAGCAGAUGCGAAAGCAGGACAUAGUGAUCCGGUGGUUCUGUAUGGAAGGGCCAUCGCUCAACGGAUAAAAGGUACUCUGGGGAUAACAGGCUGAUACCGCCCAAGAGUUCAUAUCGACGGCGGUGUUUGGCACCUCGAUGUCGGCUCAUCUCAUCCUGGGGCUGUAGCCGGUCCCAAGGGUAUGGCUGUUCGCCAUUUAAAGAGGUACGUGAGCUGGGUUUAAAACGUCGUGAGACAGUUUGGUCCCUAUCUUCCGUGGGCGCUGCAGAUUUGAGGAAGCCUGCUCCUAGUACGAGAGGACCGGAGUGGACGCACCUCUGGUGUAUCGGUUGUCACGCCAGUGGCAUUGCCGAGUAGCUAUGUGCGGAAGAGAUAACCGCUGAAAGCAUCUAAGCGGGAAACUCGUUUCAAGAUGAGAUCUGCCGGGGCCUUGAGCCCCCUGAAGAGUCGUUCAAGACCAGGACGUUGAUAGGUCGGGUGUGGAAGCGCAGUAAUGCGUUAAGCUAACCGAUACUAAUUGCUCGUGCGGCUUGACCCC
rnacentral:rRNA from 1 species